CCUACGGGUGGCUGCAGUGGGGAAUAUUGGACAAUGGGGGGAACCCUGAUCCAGCCAUGCCGCGUGUGUGAAGAAGGCCCUCGGGUUGUAAAGCACUUUCAGUGAGGAAGAACGCCUGGUGGUUAAUACCCAUCAGGAAAGACAUCACUCACAGAAGAAGCACCGGCUAACUCCGUGCCAGCAGCCGCGGUAAUACGGAGGGUGCGAGCGUUAAUCGGACUUACUGGGCGUAAAGCGCGCGUAGGUGGCUUGAUAAGCCGGUUGUGAAAGCCCCGGGCUCAACCUGGGAACGGCAUCCGGAACUGGCAAGCUAGAGUGCAGGAGAGGAAGGUAGAAUUCCCGGUGUAGCGGUGAAAUGCGUAGAGAUCGGGAGGAAUACCAGUGGCGAAGGCGGCCUUCUGGACUGACACUGACACUGAGGUGCGAAAGCGUGGGUAGCAAACAGGAUUAGAUACCCCAGUAGUC
rnacentral:rRNA from 1 species